ensembl:lncRNA
GGCAGAGCAACUCAAGCCAGUUUUCCAAUUGUCACCAUGAUACCUCAUGAAAAGCAAACAAACUAUUUGUUAAACAAAAGGAAAUCUUUUCAGCAUCACUGACCCUCCUUUUUGAAGAACCAUGUGACUUCUUCCACUGGUGUCAUUAUUAAAAGCGUCAGCAUGUGUUUAGAGGCACUGCACAUCACCACUCGCAGAGUGAACAUCUCGGUGAACAUCAGCAUUAUUUACGUGGAUCACUGCCGAUCCGGGAAAUGGCUCUGAAAGUGGACUUCUGCGUGGUUCUUCUUGUUGUGAUGUUCGGCUGUAUGCAGGUCCCUGGUUCAGCCACUACUACUUAUUCUCCAUUAAACACCACUACCACCACUGCCAAAAACAACGGUGGGAAUGGGAACGGCGUUAAUCUGAAUGGGAACGGUGGUAACCAGAUUACGAACAGCACAAUUUCAACCAGCUUUAAUGGGUCUAUGAACAACACCACACCAUCCAGCUCCAAAAACAACACAACCCAGAAUCCUAAAGAAGCAAGUUUCGGUGCCCUCACUGGCAGUUCCUCCGAUUCCUCCGUGACCAGCUGCUUCAAACUUCCGCUGCUUGCGUUCAUGACUUUGAGCUUUCUACAGAUGAUACAGUGACCAUCAACCUCGCUUCUGCUUUGAAGGCAGACAAUAAUGUGAGAUUCUUUGGAGACUUAAUAGUCUUUCUGAAAUGCUAUGAAACUUUCGUAGAUGUUAUACAGCUUGUAACAAACAGCUUUUUGCUUAACAUUAGCGAAAAAUAUUUCAAAAAUGAAAAAUAUUGAUACUAUUCACAACCAUUAUUAAACAAGCAAUCUGUUUUUUUGUGUGUGUGUGUAAAAUGCUGUAAUAUCUUUAUAAUUUAAUCAACAAAGGUAAAUCUAUGCCUCUGUAAGCUGUUGUUAGUUAACUGAUUGUUUUUAGAAGCAAUAAAACUUUGAAGUACCAUGAAGUCUUACUUGCGAGUUACAUAGUAAAACACAGGGUUUCCGUUCUUUGAAGUUCCAGCCUGGUAAAAGAUGUUAAGAGUCUUCAAUGCUUUAAACUCUUCUUUCUCAUGCACCUGGUGUCUAAAACAAAUAAAAACAGUUAUGGACUGCAGUUAUGAACUGCAAAGUAAAAGUGGGGUUUCUGCUUAAAAUAAGAAUAAAAUUAAUAGAAAAAUAAAAAAGUAAUUCAAACUGACAAGCAGUCUUUUAUCUGUUAUAACAAUGUUUAGAUUUUCUUUAUUGGAAAAG